rnacentral:rRNA from 1 species
UACGGGGGGAGCAAGCGUUGUUCGGAUUUACUGGGCGUAAAGGGCGCGUAGGCGGUCAGCACAAGUCAGUUGUGAAAUCUCCGAGCUUAACUCGGAAAGGUCAGCCGAUACUGCGGGGCUAGAGUGCAGAAGGGGCAACUGGAAUUCUCGGUGUAGCGGUGAAAUGCGUAGAUAUCGAGAGGAACACCUGCGGCGAAGGCGGGUUGCUGGGCUGACACUGACGCUGGAGGCGCGAAAGCUAGGGGAGCGAACGGG